rnacentral:rRNA from 1 species
AUUAGGAAUCUUGCGCAAUGGGCGAAAGCCUGACGCAGCGACGCCGCGUGGAGGAGGAAGGCCUUCGGGUUGUAAACUCCUUUUGUCGGGGAAGAAACAAAUGACGGUACCCGACGAAUAAGCUCCGGCUAACUCCGUGCCAGCAGCCGCGGUAAUACGGAGGGAGCGAGCGUUGUCCGAAGUUACUGGGCGUAAAGCGCGCGUAGGCGGGGGAUUAAGUGAGAAGUGAAAGGCUGGGGCUCAACCCCAUGCAGUGCUUCUCAUACUGGUCCUCUUGAGGGCGGUAGAGAGAAGUGGAAUGGCUGGUGUAGCGGUGAAAUGCGUAGAUAUCAGUCGGAACACCGGUGGCGAAGGCGGCUUCUUGGGCCGUUUCUGACGCUGAGGCGCGAAAGCCAGGGGAGCGAACG